rnacentral:rRNA from 1 species
UACGAAGGGGGCUAGCGUUGCUCGGAAUCACUGGGCGUAAAGCGCACGUAGGCGGAUUUCUAAGUCAGGGGUGAAAUCCUGGAGCUCAACUCCAGAACUGCCUUUGAUACUGGGAAUCUCGAGUCCGGGAGAGGUGAGUGGAACUGCGAGUGUAGAGGUGAAAUUCGUAGAUAUUAGGAAGAACACCGGUGGCGAAGGCGGCCCACUGGCUCGAUACUGACGCUGAGGUGCGAAAGCGUGGGGAGCAAACAGG